CCUGGUUGAUCCUGCCAGUAGUCAUAUGCUUGUCUCAAAGAUUAAGCCAUGCAUGUCUAAGUACAUACUGUUUAUAAAGUGAAACCGCGAAUGGCUCAUUAAAUCAGUUACGGUUCCUCGGAUAUUCUUUUUUACAUGGAUAACUGUGGUAAUUCUAGAGCUAAUACAUGAACAAGUGUUCCAACCUCAGCUUGCUGACGGAAGGAUCGCAUUUAUUAGUACAAGACCAAUGAUUCUUAUUCACCUAGAACCCUGUUCAGUGAUUUCGGUCGCUGUCUAAGGACUAGCAGUGGGGAUCUUAGCAACUUCGGUUGCAUUUCUUGUGAUGACUCUGAAUAACUGAGCAAAUCGUAUGGCCUCUGAGCCGACGAUGUAUCCCUCAAGCAACUGCCUUAUCAACUGUCGAUGGUAGGUUAUGCGCCUACCAUGGUUGUAACGGGUAACGGGGAAUUAGGGUUCGAUUCCGGAGAGGGAGCCUGAGAAACGGCUACCACAUCUAAGGAAGGCAGCAGGCGCGCAAAUUACACAAUCCCAGUACGGGGAUGUAGUGACGAAAAAUAACAAUACGGGACUCUAUUGAGGCCCCGUAAUUGGAAUGAGUACAAUUUAAAUCCUUUAACGAGGAUCUAUUGGAGGGCAAGUCUGGUGCCAGCAGCCGCGGUAAUUCCAGCUCCAAUAGCGUAUAUUUAAGUUGACGGAGAAUUAGGGUUCGAUUCCGGAGAGGGAGCCUGAGAAACGGCUACCACAUCCAAGGAAGGCAGCACCACGGCGCAGAUCCGAGGAGUUUGGGAAACCCUAGCUAUCUCUUCAAAUCUUCAUCGAGCGCCCUUCUUUCUCUCUUUAAUCUCCCUAUCUCUCUCUCCGUACCUAUCACCAACUCUUUCAGUUAUGGCAGGUUUGGCUGAGGAAGGAACGAAAUUUGAUACUCGGCAGUAUGAUGCCAAAAUGAAUGACAUACUCGCACCUGAAACUCAAGAGUUUUUCACCUCAUAUGAUGA
rnacentral:rRNA from 1 species